rnacentral:rRNA from 1 species
UUUUCUUGUUAAUCAGCCUAUAUACCGCCGUCGUCAGCCUACCCUGUGAAGGCCCAGCAGUGAGCUUAAUUGGCACAGCCCAAAACGUCAGGUCGAGGUGUAGCUAACGAAAAGGGAAGAAAUGGGCUACAUUCACUACUUAGCAGUGAAUACGAAGAGUGUGCUGAAAUGCACACUUAAAGGAGGAUUUAGCAGUAAGUAGAAACUAGAGUGUUCUACUGAAACCGGCUCUGAAGCGCGCACACACCGCCCGUCACUCUCCCCGGGCAUGAUAAUUAAAAAUAUAUAAAAAACCAUAACCGCACAAGGGGAGGCAAGUCGUAACAUGGUAAGUGUACCGGAAGGUGCACUUGGAAAAA